AUUGAACGCUGGCGGCAUGCCUAACACAUGCAAGUCGAACGAGUGGCGGACGGGUGAGUAAUGUCUGGGAAACUGCCCGAUGGAGGGGGCUAACUACUGGAAACGGUAGCUAAUACCGCAUACCCUCGUAUGUGCCCUGAUGGGAUUAGCUAGUGGGUGGGGUAACGGCUCACCUAGGCGACGAUCCCUAGCUGGCCUGAGAGGAUGACCAGCCACACUGGAACUGAGACACGGGCCAGACUCCUACGGGAGGCAGCAGUGGGGAAUAUUGCACAAUGGGCGAAAGCCUGAUGCAGCCAUGCCGCGUGUAUGAAGAAGGCCUUCGGGUUGUAAAGUACUUUCAGCGAGGAGGCGUUACUCGCAGAAGAAGCACCGGCUAACUCCGUGCCAGCCGCCGCGGUAAUAC
rnacentral:rRNA from 1 species